rnacentral:rRNA from 1 species
AUUGAACGCUGGCGGCAUGCUUUACACGUGCAAGUCGAACGGCAGCGCGGGCUUCGGCCUGGCGGCGAGUGACGAACGGGUGAGUAAUGCAUCGGAACGUGCCCAGUAGUUGGGGAUAGCCCGGCGAAAGCCGGAUUAAUACCGCAUACGACCUGAGGGUGAAAGCGGGGGACCGAAAGGCCUCGCGCUAUUGGAGCGGCCGAUGUCGGAUUAGCUAGUUGGUGGGGUAAAGGCUUACCAAGGCGACGAUCCGUAGCUGGUCUGAGAGGACGACCAGCCACACUGGGACUGAGGCACGGCCCAGACUCCUACGGGAGGCAGCAGUGGGGAAUUUUGGACAAUGGGGGCAACCCUGAUCCAGCCAUGCCGCGUGCGGGAAGAAGGCCUUCGGGUUGUAAAACGCUUUUGUUCGGGAAGAAAUCCUCUGGGCUAAUACCCCGGGGGGAUGACGGUACCGGAAGAAUAAGCACCGGCUAACUACGUG